AAUGCCUCAACACACAGCUGUAUGGGCUGAUGUGUGGUCGGGAUCCAGACCUGGCAUCAGUUCAUACAACUGUGUUCUGUGAUGAAGACAUCACCUGGCAAAGGUUGGUAUGUGCAGCAGCGAGGAGGAGCUCUCCAACCUCAAGACCCAGCUCGGGGACCGGAUCGCUGGCUGUGGAGUUCCUGACAUAUACAGCGCCACAGCGGACAGCCUUCCACAGAUCCAGCAGCAAAUUGUGGCCCAUUUCCUCCACCAUCGAACUGCAAGUAUGAGCCAGCACUUUGUCGCUGGUAUGGAAGCCUGUGGGAACUUCUGGUCAUUGUGAAGGCAUCCUGGAGACAGCUCCUGCCUGUCUUCACUAACGUCGGAGUCAACUCACAAGGAGCUGCAUGCAGCAACUCUUCAAGGUCUCCUGGAGCCCAGAAGGGACAAACAAAAGGGAGCAGGAGAAAGCCACAAUCUACCAGUGGGCAUGGUGGCUCAUGGC